AUUGAACGCUGGCGGCAUGCCUUACACAUGCAAGUCGAACGGUAACAGGUCUUCGGAUGCUGACGAGUGGCGAACGGGUGAGUAAUACAUCGGAACGUGCCUAGUAGUGGGGGAUAACUACUCGAAAGAGUGGCUAAUACCGCAUGAGAUCUACGGAUGAAAGCAGGGGAUCGCAAGACCUUGUGCUACUAGAGCGGCCGAUGGCAGAUUAGGUAGUUGGUGGGAUAAAAGCUUACCAAGCCGACGAUCUGUAGCUGGUCUGAGAGGACGAUCAGCCACACUGGGACUGAGACACGGCCCAGACUCCUACGGGGGGCAGCAGUGGGGAAUUUUGGACAAUGGGCGCAAGCCUGAUCCAGCAAUGCCGCGUGCAGGAUGAAGGCCUUCGGGUUGUAAACUGCUUUUGUACGGAACGAAAAGCCCUGGGUUAAUACCCUGGGGUCAUGACGGUACCGUAAGAAUAAGCACCGGCUAACUACGUGCCAGCCGCCGCAGUAA
rnacentral:rRNA from 1 species